rnacentral:rRNA from 1 species
GUCGAACGAAGUAGCAAUACUUAGUGGCAAACGGGUGAGUAUAAUGUGGGAAUCUACCAAUUGGUUCGGAAUAACACGAGGAAACUUGUGCUAAUACCGUAUAAGUCUUUACAGAGAAAGCUUUAUGCGCCGAUUGAUGAGCCCGCACUUGAUUAGCUAGUUGGUAAGGUAAUAGCUUACCAAGGCUACGAUCAAUAGCUGAUCUUAGAGGAUGAUCAGCCACAUUGGGACUGAGACACGGCCCAAACUCCUACGGGAGGCAGCAGUGGGGAAUCUUGCACAAUGGGGGAAACCCUGAUGCAGCGAUGCCGCGUGAGUGAAGAAGGCCUUUGGGUUGUAAAGCUCUUUCGUCGGGGAAGAAAAUGACUGUACCCGAAUAAGAAGGUCCGGCUAACUUCGUGCCAGCAGCCGCGGUAAUACGAAGGGACCUAGCGUAGUUCGGAAUUACUGGGCUUAAAGAGUUCGUAGGUGGUUGAAAAAGUUAGUGGUGAAAUCCCGGAGCUUAACUCUGGAACUGCCAUUAAAACUUUUCAGCUAGAGUAUGAUAGAGGAAAGCAGAAUUUCUAGUGUAGAGGUGAAAUUCGUAGAUAUUAGAAAGAAUACCAAUUGCGAAGGCAGCUUUCUGGAUCAUUACUGACACUGAGGAACGAAAGCAUGGGUAGCGAAGAGGAUUAGAUACCCUCGUAGUCCAUGCCGUAAACGAUGUGUGUUAGACGUUGGAAAUUUAUUUUCAGUGUCGCAGGGAAACCGAUAAACACACCGCCUGGGGAGUACGACCGCAAGGUUAAAACUCAAAUGAAUUGACGGGGACCCGCACAAGUAGUGGAGCAUGUGGUUUAAUUCGAAGAUACGCGCAGAACCUUACCAACACUUGACAUGUUCGUCGCGACUCUAAGAGAUUAGAGUUUUCGGUUCGGCCGGACGAAACACAGGUGCUGCAUGGCUGUCGUCAGCUCGUGUCGUGAGAUGUUGGGUUAAGUCCCGCAACGAGCGCAACCCUCACUUUUAGUUGCCAUCAUUAAGUUGGGCACUCUGAAAGAACUGCCAGUGAUAAGCUGGAGGAAGGUGGGGAUGACGUCAAGUCCUCAUGGCCCUUACGUGUUGGGCUACACACGUGCUACAAUGGUAUCUACAACAGGAAGCAAGACUGCGAAGUUAAGCAAAUCCCUAAAAGAUACCUCAGUUCGGAUUGCACUCUGCAACUCGAGUGCAUGAAGCUGGAAUUACUAGUAAUCGUGGAUCAGCGUGCCACGGUGAAUGCGUUCCCGGGUCUUGUACACACCGCCCGUCACACCAUGGGAGUUGGUUCUACCUUAAG